CAAAAACAUGUCUUAUUGUUAUAUUUUUAUUUUAAGUCAAGCCUGCUCAAUGAUUAAUUAAUUAAAUAGCCGCAGUAUUUUGACUGUGCAAAGGUAGCAUAAUCAUUUGUCUAUUAAUUGUAGGCUGGUAUGAAUGGCUAGAUGAAAUAUUAACUUUCUUUAUUUUAUAUUUAUUUGAAUUUAAUUUUUAGGUUAAAAAGCUUAAAUGUUUAUUGUAGGACGAGAAGACCCUAUAGAAUUUUAUUUAAUUAUUGGUUUGAUAUAAAUUAUUUGAUUAUUAUUUAAAUUAAUAAUUAAAUUUUGUUGGGGUGACAGGGAAAAUAUAAUAACUUUCUUUAUUUAUUAUUUAUAAAUUAAUAUAUUAAAAAUCCUUUAUAUAAGGAAAUAAGAUUAAAUUACCUUAGGGAUAAC
rnacentral:rRNA from 1 species